rnacentral:rRNA from 1 species
UAGGGAAUCUUCCACAAUGGACGCAAGUCUGAUGGAGCAACGCCGCGUGAGUGAAGAAGGUUUUCGGACCGUAAAGCUCUGUUGUUGGUGAAGAAGGAUAGAGGUAGUAACUGGCCUUUAUUUGACGGUAAUCAACCAGAAAGUCACGGCUAACUACGUGCCAGCAGCCGCGGUAAUACGUAGGUGGCAAGCGUUGUCCGGAUUUAUUGGGCGUAAAGCGAGCGCAGGCGGAAGAAUAAGUCUGAUGUGAAAGCCCUCGGCUUAACCGAGGAAUUGCAUCGGAAACUGUUUUCUGAGUGCAUAAGAGGAGAGUAGAACUCCAUGUGUAGCGGUGGAAUGCGUAGAUAUAUGGAAGAAUACCAGUGGCGAAGGCGGCUCUCUGGUCUGCAACUGACGCUGAGGCUCGAAAGCAUGGGUAGCGAACAGGAUUAGAUACCCUGGUAGUCCAUGCCGUAAACGAUGAGUGCUAAGU